AAUAGAUACCCCGGUAGUCCACCCCGUAAACGUUGGGAACUAGUUGUGGGGUCCUUUCCACGGAUUCCGUGACGCAGCUAACGCAUUAAGUUCCCCGCCUGGGGGAGUACGGCCGCAAGGCUAAAACUCAAAGGAAUUGACGGGGACCCGCACAAGCGGCGGAGCAUGCGGAUUAAUUCGAUGCAACGCGAAGAACCUUACCAAGGCUUGACAUACACCAGAACACCCUGGAAACAGGGGACUCUUUGGACACUGGUGAACAGGUGGUGCAUGGUUGUCGUCAGCUCGUGUCGUGAGAUGUUGGGUUAAGUCCCGCAACGAGCGCAACCCUCGUUCUAUGUUGCCAGCACGUAAUGGUGGGAACUCAUGGGAUACUGCCGGGGUCAACUCGGAGGAAGGUGGGGAUGACGUCAAAUCAUCAUGCCCCUUAUGUCUUGGGCUUCACGCAUGCUACAAUGGCCGGUACAAUGGGCUGCGAUACCGUAAGGUGGAGCGAAUCCCAAAAGCCGGUCCCAGUUCGGAUUGAGGUCUGCAACUCGACUCAUG
rnacentral:rRNA from 1 species